UGUUGACCUCGGAUCAGGUGAGGGAU
rnacentral:rRNA from 1 species